CCUACGGGGGGCAGCAGUGGGGAAUAUUGGACAAUGGGGGCAACCCUGAUCCAGCCAUGCCGCGUGUGUGAAGAAGGCCCUCGGGUUGUAAAGCACUUUCAGUGAGGAAGAACGCCUGGUGGUUAAUACCCAUCAGGAAAGACAUUACUCACAGAAGAAGCACCGGCUAACUCCGUGCCAGCAGCCGCGGUAAUACGGAGGGUGCGAGCGUUAAUCGGAAUUACUGGGCGUAAAGCGCGCGUAGGUGGCUUGAUAAGCCGGUUGUGAAAGCCCCGGGCUCAACCUGGGAACGGCAUCCGGAACUGUCAAGCUAGAGUGCAGGAGAGGAAGGUAGAAUUCCUGGUGUAGCGGUGAAAUGCGUAGAGAUCGGGAGGAAUACCAGUGGCGAAGGCGGCCUUCUGGACUGACACUGACACUGAGGUGCGAAAGCGUGGGUAGCAAACAGGAUUAGAUACCCUAGUAGUC
rnacentral:rRNA from 1 species